GUGAUAAAGAGUGGUACAAAAACCUCGGUCAGUCAGACGUCACAGUGAUGCACUGAUACAGCUGAGAGAUACUGCAGCUGCUGAUGGACGAUCACAAACAACACAAUGGAGUAUCAAAACUUUAUUUUAGACUUUAUUUAUUUAUUAUGAUGUGUUUAGUAAACAUGUAACAUACAAUCUUAUAUCCCUUACUAAACUGGACUAAAAUCUGGAGAAAAUACCACACUCACCCUCAUACAUUCACACAAACACAACUGCUCACAGACGUGACCUGUUUUCUGAAUCCAGCGGAUCAUUAAUAGUUUUGUGGAUUGAACUCUUGGAGCUCUUACUCUCUAACCGAGUCAAGGACGAUCUCAGCAGUCCAGAGGCUUCAGACACUGACAGUGUUUCAUUAUAAACUGAUGAACAUGAACAAACCUCAUCUCUCCAUUAGUCCAACUCUUCUGACUCAUUUCAGAGAAUAAAGUGUGGACAGUGAAGCUCAUGUUUGAUCAUCAGGUGAUUCUGUUCCUCUCAGAAUACAGCAGCUCCAUCAGCAGAUGUUCAGCGUCCUCACAGGAGCUUCAUGUGACUGGAAUCCACUGCUGCUCUUCUUUCUGGAGAUACACUGGGGUUACAAACUAUUAAAGUGUAAUGUUUCUGUCAUAGAAAUUACAUUUUAAUAUUUUUGGAAUAAAAUGCCUCCUCCUCGGUUCUGCCAAGGCUAAUUUCUCCUAAUAUUUUAAACACACAAAUGAAUUAUAUUUUUAUACUUUUUUCCACACAGCUUGUUGUAAAUGCUGCAUAAAUAUUCUGAUAUUUACUUUGACUUUCCUUUAUUUCCUAUACUCAUCAGAUGUGUCACAUUUCAUCUCGAGCAUCUUCACUGUUGUCUUCUUGUAAUUGUUCGGUGUGAUGGAAAUAUUAUAUACUUUCAUAUUCUUAAGUCUCUUUCAUUGGACAAGGGCAAAAUUAUUAAAUCUCUGCAUUAAAAAAGAAGCAAAAAAA